rnacentral:lncRNA from 1 species
GGUUACCUUGUGGUUGUCACUGUUAACUGGUGAGUGUGACAAGGAAAAAAAUGCCCUAGAUAAGCAGUACAUUAGAUUUUUAAGAACUUUAUGGGAUUAAGUAACAGAACCUUCUCAUCAGGGAUUAACUAGGAAGGCUUUUUACAAUACCUGCUUCAUCAUGUGUAUAGUACAGGUUUCAAGUCACAUUCAUUUGCAACAACAAUUUCUAGUUGUUGCAAAUUUCUAAUUAGUUCUAAUUUCUAACUAGUCAUUCUAGUUAAAGUGCAAAAUGUACUUUAAAAGACAGAAAGCACCAUUGAAGUACUAAACAUUAUUAUUAAAAACUUACAGCUAAAAGGUUUCUGUUUCGGUGGAAACCUAUUUGUUUCCUAGGCGAUGCAAAAAAGCCAAGGAACGCAUCCACCCAUAAAUAUGAAGUUUACAAGACCACU